rnacentral:sRNA from 1 species
UUCACUGGCUAACGGCUAAGAUCUAAAGAACUCGGUUCUUGCACCCUGGCUCUCGGGUCGCUUGAACUUAAAUCAAUAGAGAGACGCUAAACAUGUAGACCUCAAGGCUGAGUACUGGCGGACGCGGGUUCAAUUCCCGCCGUCUCCACCA